UGGGAAUUCGGGAUGCUUUAACAUGCAAGUCGAACGGCAGCGCGGACUUCGGUCUGGCGGCGAGUGGCGAACGGGUGAGUAAUGUAUCGGAACGUGCCCAGUAGCGGGGGAUAACUACGCGAAAGCGUAGCUAUACCGCAUACGCCCUUUGGGGGAAAGCGGGGGACCUUCGGGCCUCGCACUAUUGGAGCGGCCGAUAUCGGAUUAGCUAGUUGGUGGGGUAAAGGCCUACCAAGGCGACGAUCCGUAGCUGGUUUGAGAGGACGACCAGCCACACUGGGACUGAGACACGGCCCAGACUCCUACGGGGGGCAGCAGUAA
rnacentral:rRNA from 1 species